AUUUAGAGGAAGUAAAAGUCGUAACAAGGUUUCCGUAGGUGAACCUGCGGAAGGAUCAUUACAAAAAGCCCCACCGGCGCCCUCGGUAGUACCCGGGCAGGCCCGGAGGGGGGGGCGCGGCCCCAAGGGCGGCGCCUGAAAAAAACACACUCCCUGCGUACACAUCCCCGUUGCUUCCCCGGGAAGGGCGAUCGCCGCCCGGGGGAGGACCCAACCGGAGCACACGAUGCCGACCAACGCACCUGUCCACCCCCCCUCCUACCUCUCUGAAGGCCAGCGCGGCCAUGGAGGAGAAGGAGCGAGCGAGAGAAGAGACUAAUGCAAAAAACUUUCAACAACGGAUCUCUUGGUUCCCGCAUCGAUGAAGAACGCAGCGAAAUGCGAUAAGUAAUGUGAAUUGCAGAAUUCAGUGAAUCAUCGAAUCUUUGAACGCACAUUGCGCCCCCUGGCAUUCCGGGGGGCAUGCCUGUUCGAGCGUCUCCGGGAAGAAGACUCACGCGGGGUGACCCCUGACGCGUGGUGGUGGCGGCGGUGGCGGUCCCAGCACGGGAGGCCACCCCGGCGGAAUUCAUGGGCGGACGGCCGCCGCGUCGCAGAGCGUGAUAUUUCGCUAUCGCCUCGAGCGCGGAGAGGCUGCCAGCCCUCGCCAGCCCUCGCCAGCCCUCGCCCGUAGGCGGGGCUUGGGAGGCUGGGAUACCAUGACAUUGGAACUCCUCGAAUUC
rnacentral:rRNA from 1 species